AGGGUGUAAACGCUGCAGACUUGGUGUUGGAAAUCCUUCGAGGGUAUUCAGUGCCGGAGAGAAGUUGUUAAGUCUGCUACUUGGGGAGUACGUCCGCAAGGAUGAAACUUAAAGGAAUUGGCGGGGGAGCACCGCAACGGGAGGAGCGUGCGGUUUAAUUGGAUUCAACACCGGAAAACUCACCAGGGGAGACUGUUACAUGAAAGCCGAGAUGAAGACUCUGCUAGAUUUUCAGAGAGGAGGUGCAUGGCGUCAGUGACU
rnacentral:rRNA from 1 species